rnacentral:tRNA from 1 species
AUUUAAAUAGUUUAAUAAAAAUAUUGAUUUGUGGAAUCAAAGAUAUAAGUUAAUUUAUUUUAGAUA